GUGGGUCGCCGAGACCGGCAUCGAGAACAUCGGCCGGAAGCUCGUCAACUCCAGGGACGGCCCGCCGACGUUCGACCAGCCCAAGAUGACGAUCGAGAAGCUGCUCGAGUACGGCCACAUGCUGGUGGCGGAGCAGGAGAACGUCAAGCGCGUGCAGCUGGCCGACAAGUACCUCAGCGAGGCGGCGCUCGGCGAUGCCAACCACGACGACGACGCCAUCGCCGCCGCCCGCAACUUGUACUACGGCAAGGCGGCGCAGCAGGUGGGCUUGCCCGUGCCCGAGGGGUGCACCGACCCAAAGGCCGGCAACUUCGACCCAACAGCCAGAAGCGACGACGGCAGCUGCGUCUACAACUGACGCAUGCAUGAUGCCUCUGCCCACACUCCUCUUUUAUCUUUUUGCAAAUUAAGUGUAAACUGCCUUCAAUUCAUGUUUGAAGUUGACAAGAAACAAGAAACAAGUUUGUAAUAGGAUACAAAAUUUGUGGUGCAAUUUAGCUAGGAUACAAAAUUUGGAUGUCUCAUCCAUCCUGCAGGAGGAGGAGCCAGGGACCAUGGUCACACCCAACAAAAGAAAAAUGUUUGCUACCUAUUGUUAGCCCAUGGUCAGUAGAUGAUAGGAGCUAAAUCCAACCGCCCAAACCGCAUACAGCCACCACGCUAAGAUGACAGGAUCUCGUCCUCGCUCGCCAUGUUUCGUUUUCAAUCUCGCAGUUGCAAUGGACUCGACGUCUGCGCUCGGCGCCACAGACUCUAGCUCUGCGACUGCGGCGGCAUCACGCCGACGAUGGCAAAUGGUCGCGGCCGUGAUGGAGGACAACAUCAACAACUCAAACCAAAUGUAAGCGAACUAUUUCCGAUUUCUAAUUUAUUGUCUCAUACUGAGAGAGAGAGAUUGAGAUGAAGGUCACGACAAAUUCGAUUAUUGAUGGUUUCAACUUAGAGCAAAAUGCCAAAUUCUUGAAUCCGUAAAUAUUGUCUGUUCUAACUUUCUUGGAAAAGUAAUAACAUGGCAAGUAUGAUCAAAUUUAUAAAAUAAAGUACUAACAUUUAUGAUACAAGUAUAUUAGGUUCUUCAUUAAAUAUAUUUUCAUAGUAUAUCUACUCGAUGCCACAAUUAUUUGUAAUCCUUUGUAUAAUUUUGGGUCAAACAUUAAAUAAUUUGACUCUCCAAGAAAUUUAAAAUGACUUAAAAUCUGGAACUAAAAGGAUAUAUACAAAUAAAGUACCAGUGAAUCACAAAUAAAUUAGAAACUCCCAGAAAACCUGCAUCCAGUGGCCUAUCAGUGUCAUGCAACACAAACCAAGAGAUGGUCUCUUACUCUCUUAGGCCCCCUUUGGUAGGGCUUCGGCUGCGGCUUCUCCACCGAGAGAAGCCGAAGCCCUACUAAAUGAUCUCCACCAAAACGGCUUCGGGGAAGAAGCCCCUCCGAACCCGCUCUGUGGAGCCAUUUGACGGAGAAGAAGCCCAAAAAACCGGCUCCCCGCGGCUUCUUCCCGUCGUUCCCACCCUUGCCCUCGGGGAGCUCGCGGGUGGAGGUGAAGGGUGCGGUGGAGGCGGUCUGGCGGCGCAGUGGAGUCGGAGGAGCGAGGUGGAGGCAGAACGGCGUGGUGGAGGUGGCCUGGCAGCGCGACGCGACACUGGAGGCGGAGCGGCGUGGGGACGGAGGCGCGGCGCGGUGGAGGGCAGGGACGGUGACGCUAGGGGCCGACGGUGGAGCGGAGGCGCUGGGGCGGCCGGCGGUGGAGCGGAGGCGCUGGGGCAGCCGGCGGUGGAGUGGAGGCGAGCGGAGGCGUCGGGACGGGCGGAGGCGAGCGGAGGCGCUGAGGCGAGCGGAUAAGGCAGGCGUCGACUUGGCGAGUAGAUAAGGUUGGCGGAGGCGGAUAAGAAUUAAAGGAAAGAGAAAAAAAAGGAGAAAAAAGAAAAAGGAAAAAAAUAAGGAAGGGUAUUAUGGACAUUUCAUAUUUUUAUCCAUGUUACUCAUCUAGGAGAAGUCGUUUUGCCAAACGUUUCUCCAUCCAGACUAGGUAAAGUUAAAAAAACUGUUUCAUCGAAGAAGCCACAACCACAGCUGUUUUAGCCACAGCUGCAGCCCUGCCAAACGAGCUCUUAGUGUUGCCACUGCAAGCAAGCCAUCUGCCAAACCCCAUCCUCAGCGUGUGGCCUCCGAGAGAUGUGGGAGCUGAUCCACAACCACAGGCUCUUCGCUGACCUCCGAUCCGAUCCCGACAACAGGCCAUGGCGGCAGCCGCAGCCGCAGCGGCAGACACACGGCCACCACACGUGCUCCUUUAUUUGGCUCUCGGUCUCAGUACUUUGAGAACGAAGAGCAGCUAGCGGCGGCGGCGCAUCAGUGACAGAUCACUCGUGCUUGCCCUUCCUAGCAAGGUCGCCCAAGGAGGAAGAAGAAGAAGCAGCGCCGCGCCGCAGAGAUGGCGGCCGCCUCCUCCUCCACCGUCGUAGCUCCGGUGAGUUCAUUCUCUUCCAUCAUCAUCUCAUGCAUCGAUCAUACGAGAGCCGCCUGACGAUUAGAGUGCAAUCCUUCAUACAGGCCUCCACCCCGGCCAGCUUCCUCGGGAAGAAGCUCAGGCCGACGCAAGCGACGACGGCGGCGGCCGUGAACUACUACCAUGUCAAGAGCUCCAGCGGCGCCAACAGGUUCAAGGUCAUGGCCGCCCCGACCCCCAUCCCGCUAACCACCAUCGCCGAGCUGCGGCAGCACCACUCGCAGCUCGUCCGCCUCGGCCUCGCCUCCCACCCUUCCCACGCGCGCCGCCUCCUCUCCUUCCUCGCCCGCGACCCCGACUCCCACUUCCCCUACGCCGCCCGCCUCCUGGCGCACCACCCGGACCCGCACCCGGCGCUCUUCAACCCGCUCCUCUCCGCCCUCCCGCCGCGCCACGCCGCGCGGCUCCUGGCACUCAUGCUCUCCCUGCCCCUGCCCCCCGACCACUUCACCUUCCCGCGCAUCCUCCCCGGCGCCGCGCCGCUCCUCCUCGUCGCCCAGCUCCACGCGCUGCUCGUCAAGCUCGGCUUCCACUCCCACUCGCAGUCGCUCAACGCACUGCUCGCCGCGUACCUCGCCAAUGCGCGCCCCGACCUCGCCUCCCGUGUCUUCCGCGGCGGGGGUGCCCUAGACGUCGUGUCGUGGACCACCAUGGUCGGCGGGCUCUGCAAGCUGGGGCUGGUCGACGGCGCGCGGGAGGUGUUCGACGGGAUGCCGGAGCGGAACCUGAUAUCGUGGAACGCGAUGAUGUCCGGGUACGUGAAGGCCGGGCGGUUCCUGGACGCGCUGGAGGUGUUCGACGAGAUGCGGGCGCGCGGCGUGGAGGGGAACGGGUUCGUCGCGGCGACGGCGGCGGUGGCGUGCACGGGCGCCGGCGCGCUGGCGCGCGGGAGGGAGGUGCACCGCUGGGUGGCGCGGAGCGGGAUCCGGAUGGAUGACAAGCUGGCGACCGCGAUGGUCGACAUGUACUGCAAGUGCGGGUGCGUCGAGGAGGCGCGGCGCGUGUUCGAGGCCCUGCCGGCGAAGGGGCUCACGACGUGGAACUGCAUGAUCGGCGGGCUCGCUGUGCACGGGCGAGGCGAGGACGCUGUCGAGGUGUUCGCCCGGAUGGAGAGGAAGGGCGUGGCGCCAGACGACGUCACGCUGGUGAACGUGCUCACGGCCUGCGCGCACGCGGGGAUGGUCCGCGAGGGUCGCCGCUACUUGGACCACAUUGUUCGAAGAUACGGCGUCGAGCUGAAGAUGGAGCACUACGGCUGCCUGGUUGACUUGUAUGGAAGAGCAGGGCAACUGGACGAAGCCAAGAAGGUGAUCGACGACAUGCCGAUGGAGCCGGACGUCGGCGUCCUCGGCGCGCUGUUUGGUGCGUGCAAGCUCCACGGCGAUGUCGACUUGGGCGAGGCGAUCGGGUGGCGCGUCAUCGAGCUGGAUCCCCAGAACAGCGGCCGCUACGUGCUGCUGGCGAACCUCCUCGCCACCGCCGGCCGGUGGGAGGACGUGGCCAGGGUCCGGCGGCUGAUGGACGAGCGGAAUGUGAGCAAGGAGGCCGGGCGGUCCGUGAUCGAGGUCGACGGCGAGGUCUGCGAGUUCCAGUGCGGGAGCCUGAGCCAUCACCAGGCAGAGGAGGUGUACGCCAUGGCCAGGGACAUGAUGAGGAGGAUCGGGGCAGAGGGCUACUUGCCCGACACGAGGGACGUGCUGCACGACGUUGCGUAGGGGAGGAGAGCUGGAGCAGGGGCACCGGAUGUCCCAAAAAAACUAUUCUCUCUCCUCAAAGUGUCUUCCAGCAAAAUUGACACAAACAAAAAGUAUCCACCAACAAACAGCCAAGAUGACGCUGGAGAAGCUGCUCGAGUACGGCCACAUGCUGGUGGCGGAGCAGGAGAACGUCAAGCGUGUGCAGCUUGCCGACAAGUACCUCAGCAAGCAACCAGGCAGCUCCGGCCCAGGUAAGCGUGUUCUUUUCUUCCCUCCUAAUUCUUGCACUUCACCAGGUAGACAUGCAUGGACACCGGCGCGUUGCAUUGAAGCCGUCCACCAGCGGCACGUCGUAGAAGCGCCG
rnacentral:lncRNA from 1 species